rnacentral:rRNA from 1 species
GGGUGACAGGUGGUGGCAUGGUUGUCGUCAGCUCGUGUCGUGAGAUGUUGGGUUAAGUCCCGCAACGAGCGCAACCCUCGACCUAGUUGCCAGCAUUCAGUUGGGCACUCUAAGGUGACUGCCGGCUAAAAGUCGGAGGAAGGUGGGGAUGACGUCAAAUCAUCAUGCCCCUUAUGACCUGGGCUACACACGUGCUACAAUGGGCGGUACAAAGGGUCGCGAACCCGCGAGGGGGAGCCAAUCCCAAAAAGCCGCUCUCAGUUCGGAUUGCAGGCUGCAACUCGCCUGCAUGAAGCCGGAAUCGCUAGUAAUCGCGGAUCAGCAUGCCGCGGUGAAUACGUUCCCGGGCCUU